rnacentral:misc_RNA from 1 species
AAGUCGUAACAAGGUCUCCGUAGGUGAACCUGCGGAGGGAUCAUAUUAUGGAUAAUUUUAUGACCAAAGGGGAGGGUUAGGGUGUGUGUGUGUGUGUGUGUGUGUGUGUAUAUAUAUACAUAUACUAUAUACUAUAUACAUAUACAUAUACACACACCCUAAUCCUCCUUUGGAAAUAUAAUUUUAGAUGUGCACUUGUAUUGAAAGUCAGAGAUAUAUAUUUGCUAUAUAUAAUUUAUAGCAAAUAUAAUAUUUUCCAACCUAAACUGUUUAUAACCAAAUCUAGUUUUAAUAUAUAAUUAUAAAAAAAACAACUUUUAACAACGGAUCUCUAGGCUCUU